rnacentral:rRNA from 1 species
GACGAACGCUGGCGGCGUGCCUAAUACAUGCAAGUUGAGCGCUGAAGGUUGGUACUUGUACCAACUGGAUUAGCAGCGAACGGGUGAGUAACGCGUGGGGAAUCUGCCUUUGAGCGGGGGACAACAUUUGGAAACGAAUGCUAAUACCGCAUAAAAACUUUAAACACAAGUUUUAAGUUUGAAAGAUGCAAUUGCAUUACUCAAAGAUGAUCCCGCGUUGUAUUAGCUAGUUGGUGAGGUAAAGGCUCACCAAGGCGAAGAUACAUAACCGACCUGAGAAGGUGGUCGGCCCAAUUGGGACUGAGACAACGCCCAAACUCCUACGGGAGGCAGCAGUAGGGAAUCUUCGGCCAUGGACGAAAGUCUGAACGAGCAACGCCGCGUGAGUGAAGAAGGUUUUCGGAUCGUAAAAAUCUGUUGGUAGGGAAGAAAGUUGGUGAGAGUGGAAAGCGCAUCAAGUGACGGUAACUACCCAGAAAGGGACGGCUAACUACGUG